AUUUAAAUAGUUUAAUAAAAAUAUUGAUUUGUGGUGUCAAUGAUAUGAAAAUUUUUCAUUUUAGAUC
rnacentral:tRNA from 1 species